GCCUGGGUGGCUCAGUUGGUUGGGCGUCUAACUUCGGCUCAGGUCAUGAUCUCACAGUUCACGAGUUCAAGCCUUGUGCCAGGCU
rnacentral:tRNA from 1 species